AUAUAGGGCCAGACAGAGGUGCCACUUCUGGUACAGUUGAAAAAACUCGGAAGUCGUGUUCUGUGCUUUAGUUCUCACAAGCGUCCCUCAUUGCUCUACUGGGGGCGCGCUUUCCUCUGACCCCCCCCCAAAAAAAAGGGUGAGAGAAAAAGAUAGAGAAGGAAGGGAGGCACUUCCGGUCCAGCUUCCAAACCGGAAGUGGUGCUGUUUUGGCUCAACUCUAUGGACUCGCUAAAAACAGUCCCCGUCAUUGCCCCUCUAGGAAAAAAACUAUAGUUAUAAAGGGGGGGGGGAGACAGGGGGCACUUCCGGUCCAGCUGCCCAAACCGGAAGUGGUGCUUCAACUCUAUGGUCCUGGAGGAGGUCUUCCUUGGAGCUCAGCUGGGGAAGGCAGUUGAGCUUGGGGCUCCAAUGGAGGUUUAGGGCCAACAACCCUGCAAGGUAGGACAAAGGUCGAUCCAGAGAGAAAUGGAGUGAAAUGGGACGCUCUUCGACGAGAAAAUGCCGCCUUUGAAUCAUGUUUGUCUAUGGGUGAUCGUUGCCACCGAAAAACCAACAUUAUAGACGUGAG